ACACGUAUGGGUGGUGGAGCAGAACAUCUGUGUAUCUGGCUGUCACAGAGCCGAGGGCACAAGUGGAUCCUGACAUUGUGAGAACAGGAGAAAAUGUAACUCUGACAUGUAACUCAGUCUGCCCAACUCAAGUGCCCAUGUGGUACAAAGACGGACAUCCAUUAACCAGACCCGCACCAAUGUUCAGGGUCAAAGCAGAGGAUGCUGGGAAUUAUUCCUGUUCCAUCACUGAUGAGGAUUAGUCCGACCCGGUGUCUCUAGAUGUUCAGUAUCCUCCACUGAAAGUGUGGGUGGACGUGAGUCGUCAUCCUCCUGGAGAGCUGGCAAAGGGCAGCAGUGUAAAUCUUACCUGCAGGAGUUCUGCCAAACCUGCAGCCAACAACUAUACCUGGUACAGGAGAACAUCUGCUCCCAGCUCCCUGCUGCAGGUGGACUCGGGUCAGGUGCUGUCCCUUCUGUCUUUUAGUUCUUCCCUCACUGGAUUCUACUUCUGCAGGGCUACAAACUCACUGGGAGACAAAAACUCUGCUGAGGUGCUUCUGGAAAUCAACAUUUCAAACAG